UUCAGCUAUGACUGGAAAUGAAGGUGCAUAAAUAAUUUUUAACUAGGAAGGACAUGAGUUCUAACUUCACUAAUUGGCAACAAAAAUUAUAUCCAUGUUUUUGUUGAAACUUGUGUUAGUACAAAGCGUAAUCAACCAUCAAAAUACAUGUUAAAAAAAAUAAUAAAAUAAAAUACAUAUUUCAUGCUAACCAAUCUUAAUAUGUAAUGAGUUUGCAUUCUCAUCUCUUUGAAGUACUUUUAUCCAUGCCUUAAGGACCUCAUCAUCUACCAUGUGUGUGUGAGUGUGACAAAUAAAUUCGGGGAGUGGGUGACAUUAACAUCUGUUUUAAUUCAUGCGGUUUUGGACAUUUAUCUCUGUAUUUUGCAAUUCUCUAUGUUUUAAUUCAUGCAAUUUAAAAUUGUCAUCAUUCCUUAUACUGAUUCCUUCUAGUGAGGAAUGUAAGCUCAUGCUUCAUAGUUCAUUCUAGCGUUCUUUAACUUCCCCCUUUUUUUUCUCUUAUAUGGGUAUUCCUUUUGGAAAAUCUCAUUUCCUUUUAUUCCAUUUUCUUUUUCUAUACAAUCUUCAAUUCUUCACCUUAAGAGGUUCUGUUGUUUGAUCCAUCCACGACGAUUGAAAGAGAAUGUACUAACUUUUCAAGCCAGAGAAGUGAAUGGCAUAACAAUUACUAUAUAUUACCUCCCUCUGCCCUUGCCACUCAUCACUUUUUUGGUAUCACACAAGAAUAUAUUGAAGUAAUUAAUUAGGAAACUUAGGUUUUUUUAUUUUCCCUUCAUAUUUUGGAAUAUCAAACUGGUGGUAUCUACAGCUCAUUGUUCUCAUGUUCAGCAGAAACUGAAACAGUAAGUUGCUAAAAUAACGAUUAUCAUUGCUUUAUCUUAUUACUUUUUUUAACAUUUGUAUAAAUCUUUGUUCUCUUAUUUAUCAAGAUUUGUAUAUUGUUUCAACACCAAUUUCCAAUAAGCUUAAUCCAACUUCACUAUUGUUUUUAGGCCAGAUACAUAAAUUGUCCCUUGUAACUGAAAAGUCCUAUGGCACCCUAAACUUUUAUUUCUACCUAUUAGGCACCUCAAUUUCUAUUUUUAUAUAGAUUAAACAGUAAACACAAAUUUAUCUAGUCAACGGGUUAUGUGAGUGCACAUGGAUAAAAACAAGUAAAACCACUACAAUAGUACCGAUAUGAUAUUUUAAUUAUUUUGUUAUGGGUAAUAUAAUUGUUUGAAUGACAAGCAAUAGAGAAAAAUGGCAAAAAAUGAGUGAAAAAGUAAAAAAGAAAAAAAAUGAAAGUGAUAUCAGUAAUUUUGCUUUUAAUAAUUUGUUCUAUUGGUUAUGAAAAUAAAACUAUAAGGGUCAAAUAGGUAAUGAUAAAAGUUGAAGGUGCCUCCAGGCUUUUCAGGUAAAGUUAAAGGUAUUAAUUUAUGUAGUCAACCAUUAAUUUUUAUAAUGACUGCCCAGUUUUCAGUGAUGGCUUUAAUGGCCAUGUUGACAUAUAAUGUGCAACGUCCACAACGAUUUGUGGUUCAUUGGCUGGACUACCUUUUGGGGGUUUUGAGGAUUGACCAAAAGGGUAGUAGUGAUAAUGUUGGCUUAAAGUUGAGAUCUUUAGAAAUGUAUUCCCCUAAAGUGUCAUAAAAGCUCUUUUUGAAUAAUGCCCUCAUUUGUGGGUUUGGUCGGUUCUUCCCCUUGUAUCUCUCAUAUAAUUAAAUUCCAAGUGAGACCCAUAUGUUUACCAUGUGCUUCUAAUUCUUUUUUUUUUUUUAUUGUUAUUAAAAAUUUGCUUCUGAUGGGGUUUAAGUCCUUAGUCAAUGCUAGUGCCUUGCUCAAUUCCUGAACCUCACAGUUGCUCCCUAAAAAGAGUAGUAAAUUUGUCUGCCCAUUUAGAUGCAACUGAUUCCCUCUUAUAGAGAUUUCAUGGUAUAAUUAUAGGUGGGAGCUUCAAACUGCUAUUUGAACAUUCAUUACAUCAACAGAGAUUUAUGGAGAAAGUGACUGGAAAGUCUUGCUGCUUGUGACUCACCUUUGCAUCUUAGAUCAUCCUCAACAUUUCACCUUAAGGGACAUAUGACUGCCUUGAAAGUUGUGCAGCGUUUGUUAGCAAAGAGAAGGUAGGAGAGUUCUACUUUAAUGGAAGCUUCUGCUAAAAUCCUUACCCUUGACAAUCAUGCAUGUAAUGGAGAGUGGACAAUUGUUUUACCUCGACGUGGCAAGCAAAGGAGAAAGUUUCCUAAAAUUAGGACUUUAGAACAACAGCUGCAGCCAUGGGUUCCAACUGAUCUUGAGUCUGAUCCAAACAGACAAUCAAAGUUGAUAGAAAAGAUGCAGACCUGUAUGAAGAAAGUAGAGAACUCUCAAUUUUAUCUUAACCUUUUGGAACAAAUUCGGACUCCAGAAAUCUUGGAUUGUUUUUACAGGGUUCUUGGCUCAGAGUUGAAAAUGCCGAUGGUGAUAUAUGGUAUUGGCAGCAUUGAAUCAUAUGAAACUCCUCGAAUUCAGCUGAGUGUUGCAAUCUUGAUGAAAAAAGAGUUCAGUUGGAUUGGGGACAUAGAGGUUUUUGAUCCGGUACUUUCUGCAACAGAAUCUCGAGUUUUGGAAGUCCUUGGUUGUUCUGUUCUAUCCAUGAAUGAACACGGUCGUCGACGUGUUACCAAGCCUACAAUAUUUUACAUGCCACAUUGCGAGGCAGAAUUAUACAACAAUCUUCUACAGGCAAACUGGGGAGUGGACCUGUUGAAUUGUAUUGUAUUGUUUGGGAACAGCUUUGAGCUGUAUCGGUAUUUGUCUGAGUUUAGGAACUCAACUCUUGUUGAUUCAUCCAGGCAUAUUGUGGCUGUUCGAGAAUUCACUCAUGAGUAUGUAAUCAAGACAAUUUCAAAUGACUAUUUUGCUGCUUUUCAUGAUUCAAGUUGGCAUUUUUUCAGCCCUGUUCUUGAGACGGAGCUGCAGUUAUUUAAAAACUGAAUGUGAUGUGUAAGAAACUGUAGCCUAAUUAAAACACAGCAUAUGUUUGAACAAUUUAUUGGUGAUGAUUAGAUUGUGUUUUCUGUCUGCUUUGGAGUAAUUUCAAGUUGUCUGCUGCACGUUCAAACCAGUGCA
rnacentral:misc_RNA from 1 species